rnacentral:rRNA from 1 species
AGUGAACGCUGGCGGCGUGCUUAACACAUGCAAGUCGAACGGACUUAAGGGGCUUGCUUCUUAAGUUAGUGGCGCACGGGUGAGUAAUGUAUAGCUAACCUGCCCUUUAGUGGGGGACAACAGUUGGAAACGACUGCUAAUACCCUAUACUCCUUCUUGUCUUAAGGCGAGUUGGGAAAGAUUUAUCGCUAAAGGAUGGGGCUUUAUUGUAUCAGCUAGUCGGUGAGGUAAUGGCUCACCAAGGCUAUGACGCAUACCUGGUCUGAGAGGAUGAUCAGGCACACUGGAACUGAGACACGGUCCAGACUCCUACGGGAGGCAGCAGUGGGGAAUAUUGCACAAUGGAGGAAACUCUGAUGCAGCAACGCCGCGUGGAGGAUGACGCAUUUCGGUGUGUAAACUCCUUUUAUAGGGGAAGAUAAUGACGGUACCCUAUGAAUAAGCACCGGCUAACUCCGUGCCAGCAGCCGCGGUAAUACGGAGGGUGCAAGCGUUACUCGGAAUCACUGGGCGUAAAGGAUGCGUAGGCUGGAAAUCAAGUCGAAAGUGAAAUCCAACGGCUCAACCGUUGAACUGCUUUCGAAACUGGUUACCUAGAAUAUGGGAGAGGUAGAUGGAAUUAGUGGUGUAGGGGUAAAAUC